rnacentral:rRNA from 1 species
GAUGAACGCUAGCUACAGGCUUAACACAUGCAAGUCGAGGGGCAGCAGGAUCUAGCAAUAGAUUGCUGGCGACCGGCGCACGGGUGAGUAACACGUAUCCAACCUGCCGAUAACUCGGGGAUAGCCUUUCGAAAGAAAAGAUUAAUACCCGAUGGUAUAAUCAGACCGCAUGGUUUGAUUAUUAAAGAAUUUCGGUUAUCGAUGGGGAUGCGUUCCAUUAGGCAGUUGGUGAGGUAACGGCUCACCAAACCUUCGAUGGAUAGGGGUUCUGAGAGGAAGGUCCCCCACAUUGGAACUGAGACACGGUCCAAACUCCUACGGGAGGCAGCAGUGAGGAAUAUUGGUCAAUGGACGCGAGUCUGAACCAGCCAAGUAGCGUGAAGGAUGACUGCCCUAUGGGUUGUAAACUUCUUUUAUAUGGGAAUAAAGUUUUCCACGUGUGGAAUUUUGUAUGUACCAUAUGAAUAAGGAUCGGCUAACUCCGUGCCAGCAGCCGCGGUAAUACGGAGGAUCCGAGCGUUAUCCGGAUUUAUUGGGUUUAAAGGGAGCGUAGGUGGACAGUUAAGUCAGUUGUGAAAGUUUGCGGCUCAACCGUAAAAUUGCAGUUGAUACUGGCUGUCUUGAGUACAGUAGAGGUGGGCGGAAUUCGUGGUGUAGCGGUGAAAUGCUUAGAUAUCACGAAGAACUCCGAUUGCGAAGGCAGCUCACUGGACUGCAACUGACACUGAUGCUCGAAAGUGUGGGUAUCAAACAGGAUUAGAUACCCUGGUAGUCCACACAGUAAACGAUGAAUACUCGCUGUUUGCGAUAUACAGUAAGCGGCCAAGCGGAAGCAUUAAGUAUUCCACCUGGGGAGUACGCCGGCAACGGUGAAACUCAAAGGAAUUGACGGGGGCCCGCACAAGCGGAGGAACAUGUGGUUUAAUUCGAUGAUACGCGAGGAACCUUACCCGGGCUUAAAUUGCAUUUGAAUAAUCUGGAAACAGGUUAGCCGCAAGGCAAAUGUGAAGGUGCUGCAUGGUUGUCGUCAGCUCGUGCCGUGAGGUGUCGGCUUAAGUGCCAUAACGAGCGCAACCCUUAUCUUUAGUUACUAACAGGUCAUGCUGAGGACUCUAGAGAGACUGCCGUCGUAAGAUGUGAGGAAGGUGGGGAUGACGUCAAAUCAGCACGGCCCUUACGUCCGGGGCUACACACGUGUUACAAUGGGGGGUACAGAAGGCAGCUACCUGGUGACAGGAUGCUAAUCCCAAAAGCCUCUCUCAGUUCGGAUCGAAGUCUGCAACCCGACUUCGUGAAGCUGGAUUCGCUAGUAAUCGCGCAUCAGCCAUGGCGCGGUGAAUACGUUCCCGGGCCU